rnacentral:lncRNA from 1 species
UGUCGAUGGUGAUGGCUACACUGCUGGUUCUAUGCGUACCAUCACAUUCGGUCAUCGUAAGUACCCACACACUCAUCACCCAUGCAUCAUCAUGUCUUUCUUGCUAUAACUAGCCAACUUGCCAUUUUCUGUUUUCUAGUUUUCAAUCGUGUUGCCGGGACGGCCACUGAGAAGAUCAUAGACGUUGACCACGGAAAUUUAACUAUCGAGUCAACCUUUACUGAGGAUGGAGGCUUCAUU